UACGGGAGGCAGCAGUGGGGAAUAUUGCACAAUGGGCGAAAGCCUGAUGCAGCUAUGCCGCGUGUAUGAAGAAGGCCUUAGGGUUGUAAAGUACUUUCAUCGGGGAGGAAAAAACAAAACUAAUAAUUUUAUUUCUUGACGUUACCCGAAAAAGAAGCACCGGCUAACUCCGUGCCAGCAGCCGCGGUAAUACGGAGGGUGCUAGCGUUAAUCAGAAUUACUGGGCGUAAAGAGCACGUAGGUGGUUUUUUUAAGUCAGAUGUGAAAUCCCCUGGGCUUAACCUAGGAACUGCAUUUUGAAACUGAAAUACUAGAGUAUCGUAGAGGGAGGUAGAAUUCUAGGUGUAGCGGUGAAAUGCGUAGAUAUCUGGAGGAAUACCUGUGGCGAAAGCGGCCUCCUAAACGAAUACUGACACUGAGGUGCGAAAGCGUGGGGAGCAAACGAGGAUUAGAUACC
rnacentral:rRNA from 1 species